UAUGAUAGUUGAUUUUUUUCAAAGAAAAAAAAGAAACAUAAAUAAGACAAAUAUAAGAGUUGAUUUUAUGGCCAAUAUAAUGUCGUUGCAAAUUACAAUAAUAUAACAAAAUAGGGGAAGACCCAAUACUAGAGCAAGUUUUAGGUUUGUAUCCAUGACAGGAAGAUGAAAUGAGUAUUAAUUGGAGUUGAAGUAAGGAAUUGGAAGAAGUUGAAGAGGUGAUUUCUUGGAAACUGUAAUACCAAAUUCCUCUUCCAUGUCUAAAUCUUCUUCUUUCAUUCCAUUUGGUAAUUUCCAAUCAAAACACAUUAACAUAUUAGCCAACGUCAACUCUACCGUUGCAAUCCCCAUAUUCACACCUGGACAUAUUCUUCUACCAGCUCCAAAUGGAAUUAACUCGAAGUUUUGUCCUUUGUAAUCAAUAUUACUUUCCAUAAACCUCUCUGGACAAAACUCUUCUGGGUUUUUCCACGAAUCAGUGUCUCUUCCAAUUGCCCAUGCAUUCACAUGAAUACGAGUUUUUGGAUCGAUAUUGUAACCAUUGAGUUUAAAAUGAGACGUGGUUUCUCUUGGAAGCAAAAGUGGGACAGGUGGAUGAAGCCUUAAAACCUCUUUCAAAACCAAUUUUAGAUAUUGAAGCUUUUCGAGCUCGUUCUCCUUCACUUUAUCUUGCCCAAUUAUGGUGCUUCUGAUUUCAUGUUGUAGCUUCUUCAUUACUUUUGAAUUUCUAACUAGCUCUGACAUUGUCCAAACAAGUGUGUUUGCUUCUGUUUCUACUCCAGCUAGAAAUAAAUCCUUAAAACACACACACCAAAAAGAUGAACACGAGUGUGCUUGAUCAUGUCAGUUGAAAAAACUAAAUAUAUAUAGAUGUACAAUGACAUUGGAGACACACAUAUGAUUGGGGGUAGGAAAGUUCAAAACAUAGUUUUCACAAUUACUAACACGCUCGGAUGCAAGUUGAACUAAGCUACAAGAGAAAAUUACUUACCUUGAUAUGCCAUGCAAAUUUUAAAAAAAUCAUUUUGUAACCUCUCUUGUUACUUGUUUGGAAUUCUCAUUUAUACAUAUUAAAAAAAAAAAUUCCAAACUUAUUUAUAAUUUUGUAUCUUUUAAAACAAACAAUAAUAAAUAUGACAUGAAACUUUUGAAUAUUAGUAUACCAAAACUAAUGGGUUUUGUUAGAGAAUCUGCAUUCAAAAAUUAAAAAUGAUCCUCACAAGUUUUAAGAAAUAAUUUAAACGAUUUUGAAAUGAAACUAAAUGUCAUGCAUAAGAAAUUUAAGAUUUACCAUGACAACUGCCUUAAUGCAAUCUCGAGUGAAUUUGAUUGAACCAAAUUCAUAGCAAUCUCUCUCCAUUCUCAACAAAACAUCAAGAAUGUUUUCUUCUUUUUGACAAACUGUCCUAAAGUUAAUACGAUCCUCAAUUACAUGUUCUAAAAACGCAUCCAACUCCUCAAAGUUUUUCUCGAGCCGCCCAUGAACACCGGUGAGCCGAUCAAUAAUCCAUCCGAAGCUGGGAAAGAAAUCACUUGCCGAGAAGCAUCCGAUCGCCGCGCUCGCUCUUUGUAUAACCCCCUCAACAUUACCAUCAUCUAGUUCACUUUCACUCCCUCUAAUACUCUUUCCAAACGCAAUCCUAGUAAGGAUAUUAGACGUGAGAGAAUACGAUUUUACUGUAAAAUCAAAUAGAGUUGAAGAAGAUGAGGAUUGAGAGAUGGAAUUCACAAGUUGAUUCACUUCCUCUUCUCUAAUAUGCUGAAAAGAUUGCACACGUUUGGGACUAAAGAGCUCAGAGAUAUAAAUCUUACGAAGCUCCCUCCAGUGAUCGUCGUAAGAGGAAAAAAUCAAAUCUAAGAAGUUGUAUGAAUAUUUUGCGGUCGCCGCUAAGCGAGGGCGGCUACAAGAAGCAAGGUCAUGGCAUUUGAACAGCUCUUUUGCAAUCUUUGCAGAAGAAAUGAUGACAGUCGGGACAGAGCCAAAUUUGAGGAGCAUAAUGGGACUGUGGGUUCUGGAAAGGUUCCAUAAGGAGCGAUGGGGGUGAGAGCCAAGGAGGUGUAAAUGACCUAACAAAGGAAGCUUGGGAGGGCUUGGAGGAGGAAGAAAUUUAUGGUUAUUGUUGUGUUUAAGUUCAACAUUUUUCUUGGUUUUUAGAAGGAUCAGAGAACAUAAGAAAAAGAGAAGAGAAAGGACACAAAUGGAAAGGCUAUUCAUAUUGUAUGACUCAACUAUAGCAUUUGAGAGAUGAAGAUCAAAAAGAAAGGUACAAAGUAAUGGACAUUGUGUUGGUAGGGUUAUAUAGGAAAUAUAAGUCAAUUAUAUCUAUAUCUAUAUAUAUAUAUAUUCGAAUUCAAUAUAACUUGUAUAUCUCUUUAUUGUGCACUAUUGUAAUAAUUAAUUCUUUUUUGUACACUUGAUAGAAAAUGGAAAGUCUUUCAACCUUCUUCUGAUCUUUCAGUUUCUACUCUGCCAGAAAAAAUAUAAUUUGCAAAAGAUGUGAGGGAUAUGACUUAAUAAACUAAACCAUUUUCGAUGUAUUUUGAAAUUUAUUUUCUUGUUACCCAAUAUUUUUCACUUCUCUAAUAGGGUAAAGGAAAGAGUGAUGAUAUUAUUGCAAAUCAUACAUUUUUCUUUUUUCAUUAAAUUUAUCACCAUUCCUAUCUUUUCAUACUUUCUUAUUUCUACUUUUCUUUUUCCUUUUACAUAGAUUUGUUGUUCCUCCUUUUGACACUCUUCCUCUCCCCUCCUCUAUCUCUUUCAUUCUCAAUGUAAUACCAAAAGAUUGUGUCCAUUUAAUCACUUGAAAAAGGAGAACCAUAAGUCUUGAUUUACAUAAUAAUACUUAACUUAAUUAAUUAGUUAAUCACAUUUAGUAAACUCUUGAUUUGGAUAUCUUGUAGGGCUGAUGUAGGCAUUCCUGGAGAAAAAAUGAAUUGGGGUAUAAGUUUGGAGAUUCGUGAAAAGUUGUAGGAUUUCUAUAAUUAUAUAUUGUAACUUCAAUAAGAAGAUUAUCAUUAAUGAAAAGUUGUUUCCACACACGUCUUGAACACAUUUAUUUUACAUAAAAGUUUAAGAAAGAUGAUGAUACUAACACUAAGAAAUGGAAUUUGUCAUUAUCAUCUACUCCAUCUUUAUCCAUUUUCAGUAUUAGGCAACCAAUUUUAGUCUCUUAAUUUCUUCCAAAAAACCUAAUCAUCUUCUCUUUAUCAUCCAAACAAAACGCAACCCAUCUACUUUUACUUUAUUAACUUACUAACUACCAUUUCAAUUAAUUAUAUUUCUUUUCCUUAUGAAAAAAAAAGUAAAUAGUAAAUAGCUCUACUAAUGGAUAAAUUUUUAAAAAUGUCAAAUCCAUUCUUAACUGUCUAUCCUUGAUAGUCGCUAAAAUCAACUCAUACCACAUCUCUCAAAUUUACGUAUUUAUAUAAAUUAUAUUUAUCAUAUAUGCUUAUGGUUUAAUUUUCAUCAUUUGUGUGUUUAAAUUUUAUAGUUAUGGCAACUUUGGGAGUUUAAUUUUAACACAUUUAGAAAUUUAAUUUUUCAAUCAUUGCUAUUAUUGAAAGUUUAUGCACCAUAUGUUUGGGGCAGUUUUUGCAUUGUACAUCAUUAAAGACACUCCUCACUUUAGGGUUCAAAAUAUAAAAAAGUCCAACAAGCGAAAAUGAAUAUUAAUUAUUAAAGAGAAAGUAAUACCUGCUGUGAUAUUAUUCAUAUAACUAAUUAAUUCAAAAGUUAAGUUGAUAGGUGAAGAUGAAUUUAAUCGUAUAUUAUUUAGAAAGGAAUUUGGGCAAAUUGACUAAAAAGAAGUGCUUAAAGCCUACCAAGAAGAUUCAAAGGGAGAAUGCAUAAUUGUAGACACGGGUACGUAUCAAACUACUUCAUUAAUCAAUGUCAUACCCUUCGUGUUUGAAUCAAAUUUGUUUGUCCAAUCAAUUAUUUGUUGAACUAUGUAAAUUGAUGUAAUCAUGGCAUUUAAUCUAUGAGACACACUAAACUAAAGAUAAUAUAGAUAUUCAUAUAACAUGGAAAAUAUGAGUUAGACAAAACUUACUUAUUGAGUUCUUCGACUCAUAAUCUUAUAUAUAGAUGAUUGAAACACAAACAAAUAUACAAAUAUAUACAUACAUACAUAUGACAGACACUUUUGGUGAUCCUCAUCCUCAAGAGUUACGACUCGAAACAAAUAAUAGGCACAAGGCUUGUGGGUGUGGGAGGAAGAUAUAAUGACUUUAUUGGACUUAUUUCUCAUCUUCUCAUAUCACAUCACCAACCUCGUUGAAAAAGAUCCAUCAGAAAUAAAAUCAAAACAAACAUUGUGAUAUUUUCAAAUACAAUCUAAACAACAAAAAUUUCACACAUUGGACAGCCAUAGAAUUACACGUGAUAUUUUAUUAUAAGUGAAAAUAUAUUUUUGUUUUAAAAUAACUUUUAUAUAUCAAAAUAAGUUAUUAAUAGUUAUAAUGAAAAUAAAGAUAACUAGAUUAAAGAAGUAUUUUUAAAAAUAACAAAAUAAAUUAAAAUAUUUAUAAAUUAUACUAAAAUUUUAGAUUUUAUAUGAUAUUAGAAGUAUAUCAAUGUCUAUUAUUGAAAAUUAUAUUAUAUGUUGUAAAUAUUUUAUCAAAUCUAUUAUUUUUGACAAUUCUUCCAAAUUAAAUAAGUCAUCAUCUAUCAGUAAUCUGUUAUUGUCUGUCCAGCAGCUAGGAGAUUUGGCUUUCACACCCAGGAGAUCCGGGUUCAUAUAUAAGUUUGGAUUAAUAGUUUAAUCGCUAUCCAUUGAAGAAUUAUAAUGAAUUGAUCAAAAUGUAGGUAACAAAUUAAUCAAUGUCAUGUUGUAUUAAAUAUAAUCAUAUGUACUGCAUGUGUUAUAGAUUAUGGAAUUGGCCACAGUAUCUGUUUAAUGAUAAUGUUUGAGUUUGUUCCUCGGAUUGUUUUAGUGAUAUUUAAUACAGAAAUUAUAUAUAUUGUUUGUCUCUCCCAACACAUUCAAGAAUACGUAGAUAUAUAUUAUUAUGCAGAGACGACUUUAAUUUUCUUUAUCUGAAAAAAAGUUAUGUAUACUUAUUAUUUUAUGGAUUGUUUCUAAUUUGUUUAUCCUUUGUAGAUUUUGAAAGGGGACCAAUAUGUUUUCCCGUGUUGUGUCUAUUUAAAUCUCGAAGAAGAUGGUGUAAGUUGUAUACUUACUUUAGGUUUCUUGGUAGCUAAAGAUGUCAAUGUUUAUUCUUUUUGUAUGUAAACUACAUGGUUAUUAGUCAAUCCCUAGUGUACGAAUAUUACAAUAAAUAAGGCGCCAUAAGACGGGUUCGAAGGCGCCUCCAAAGUCAAAUUCUCUAAUGGGCAAUAUUCUUUGCACCUUCCAGUCGCUUCGCGCCUUUGUAGUUAAUAAUGGGGAUAUGCUCAUUCAUAUGGAUCAAAAUGAGUCAUUCGCUCAAUAUCCUUUGAGCCUAACGAUCAAAGAGAAAUUCAUACUAUCAAGAAUGACCGAAGCGAAGGUUCAACUUCAUUCCUAGGGCAUGCUCGAAGGACUAUGAACCAUAUAUUCGCUUGUGAGAAGGGGAGGACUCCUAGAAAUAAGAAAAUCUGAUGAUUAUCUAAUAUAGGUUGGCCGUACUUGUGAUGGUUCCCAAGGAUCCAAUAUGACCACUUAGGUUUAGCGGGCAAGCUCGGCCUGGUUUUUUUGUCUCGCAACAACAGAUAAAAGAUGCACAUUAAACUAAAACAUCUAAUAAAAAUCCAACACAAACAAGUUAAACAUCUUUCAAGUUGAUAGAAUCAUAUCACUGGAAGCUAAACAAUAGCACAUAAAAAUGUACAUUAAACUAAAUCAAGUGCUAACAUCCUGAUAGUCUAUCAGUGAUAUAAACAUAUCACCUAUAGAACUUAACUUUAAGUAACAAUACACAAAUGGAAAAAAAUAGCAUAACCAAACAGAAAAUGAAGAAAUUGAUUUCAAACAAAUAGAAAAAGAAGAAAAUCUAUUUCAAACAGACUACGACCAAACGAAAAAGAAAGAUAUCGGAAGAACGAAAAUAUAACUUACAAUUUCAAACGAAAAGCAAAGAAGUCUGGAGAUGAUGAAGUGGAGAAAUCGAAAACAACAUAGACGAUGGAACAAAGGUACUGGCGGGAAGACCAAAUGAAAGAUGAAGAAAUGAGAAGAAAGUGGAAGAUGGAAGGAAAAUGUGAAGCGGUGGAAGCGUACAUGAAGGCACCAGAAUUGGAAGAUGAAGAAUUGGAAGAUGAAGAAAUCAAAAGUGUGUUUGAAAUUGGAAUAUGAAGUGGUGGAAGCGUGAGAUGGAUCUUCUCUUUUUGUUGUAGGGGUAUUUUGGUAUUUUACCUUAGGGUUGUAGUUGAAAUUUGUCAUAUUUGCAACUUUUUACUCUUUGUUAUAUAUGAUAGUUGCAAAUUUAGCAAUUAGAUUCAAAAUAAAAAAAUUGUAAAUAUAGCAAAAUUUGUUAAAUUCUAUCAAUGAUAUAAGUCUAUCACCGAUAGACCAUGUUGCAAAUAUUGAUCUAUCGCUGAUAGAAAAUACGAAGAAGUCUAUCAGUGAUAGUUUUGCUAUAUUUGCAACUUUUUUUAAAUGUUGUUAUAUCAUAAAUUAUUAUUCCUAAAAUGGUCAUCAAUUGCAAUUUCCAUUGUUAUAUCCUAAUUAAUUAAUUUAGAGUCAAAUGUUAUAUCCCUAGUUGGCCCCUCAAAUUAAUUAAACAAUAAAUAAUGUCCCAUGCCAGUUCUAAAAUGACACGAUUGAUUGAAGUUCAUUUUUACAUCUUUGAUUUUAGUUAAUAUAUAGUUUGAGACGUUUCUUAAUACAAUAUCAAAUCUAUCACAAUAAGACAAAACUAACUUAUCCUUAUAACAAUUCCAAUUCUUGUAUAUAAUAUCAACUUCUGACUGAAUUCUAGUACACAAUUAUAAGAACAAACCAAUUAUACCAAUCAACAUACGUAACAAUGCUUUCGGGUAAAAUUCGUUGUCCUCAUUUUUUAGACAGUGUGUUGAAAGUGUUGACGAGCCUACUCUAAUUCACUUUAACUCUCACAAUUUUUUAAAAGAAUAAACUUGUUCUCUUAUAAAACUCAAAAACACACAAGAGAAAGAAUAUUGUUCUCUCGAAACUCACACUCUUUUUCUAAACUUCAAUAUGCUUCAAUUGAUUUGAUUUUCUUUUCUUUCUUGGAUAGAAAGGAAAUGAACUUUUUAUUUGAUCAAUAUAUGUUUAUUUCGUUCGGAUAACAAAUAAACUAAAAGGUAGUUUAAGCUAUGUAAGGGAUGGGAACAAGUUUAAGUGGUGAUUUUUUGGCAACACUAAUACCAAAAAAAUCCUCUUCCAUAUCUACAUCUUCUUCUUUCAUUCCAUCUCCCAAUUUCCAAUCAAAACAAAGUAACAAAUUAGCCAAUGUCAACUCUACUGUAAAGAUUCCCAUAUUCAUUCCUGGACAAACUCUUCUACCACCUCCAAAAGGUAAUAAUUCAUAAUUUUGUCCUUUAUAAUCAAUAUUAUUUUCUAUAAACCUUUCUGGGAUAAACUCUUCAGGGUUAACCCAACACUCUGGAUCUCGUCCAAUGGCCCAUACAUUGACAUGAAGAUGAGCCUUUGGAUGUAUAUCAUAACCAUUAAGCUUAAAAUGAGACGUGGUUUCUCUUGGAAUGAGAAGUGGGACUGGUGGGUGCAACCUUAGAACCUCUUUCACUACCAUUUUUAGAUAUGGAAGCCUUUCAAGGUCCGUUUCUUUUACUUGUUCCUUUUUUAUGUAGCUUCUAAUUUGGUCUUGUAGCUUUUUCAUUACUCUAGGCUUUCUAAUUAGCUCUGCCAUUGCCCAAACAAUGGUGUUUGCUCCAGUUUCCACUCCUGCUAUAAAGAUAUCCUAAAAAGAACAACACUUAAAAUGAAACUUGAAUUUUGUUUGAUAGCAAUAAGAUUAAAAAAUGAAAGUUGAAUUUUGUUUGAUAACAAUUAACUUUUUUUUAAAAAAAAAAAAAUUUAAAAGAAUAAUAUUGACACACCCAUUUUUAUGUGUUAGACUCUUUCUAAGCCUACCGAAAAAACAAUCAAAAUAACUUAAAAGUAAAGUAAAGAAUAUCGAAUAGUUUAAUAGGAUGGACAAAGGUAUAGAUGCACCUAAAUCUUUCUAUUUUGAAAAUUAAACUUAUGAACGUUAUUUUAUAUCUUACAUCUUUUUUUUUGUUAUCUAAUAAUUUUUUCACAAAUAUUUCAUAAAACCAUUCAAAGUUCUGAAAACUAAAUACCGCCACGUGCUAGAGACGAUGCGGAACGGCCAACGUCCUCAAAAGAGCUAUUUUUAAAAGAAAAUAGGAGUUUUAAUCUCUUGACACUAGUCUCCUUUUUUUAAAAAAAAAAUUAUGUUUAGACACAUUUAGAUGGGUUGCAGAAAAUAAGUGAUGCAUGCAUAUAAUUAGACACACUUAUGUUUUUUUACGAGGAAAAAAAGACUUAGAUACAACGUCAGAUUGUACCUAUUACAAAAAGAAGAAAAAAAAGAUUAAAAACAAAAAUUCAUAACUUAUGAUUAGACACAUUUAGAUGAGUUGCACAACACUAACUGAUGCAUGCUAAAAAAUAUAGUUGGACGAUGGGUAGGUUGGACCCAUCUAAUUUAUGCAACUUUACUCAAUUAAAAAUUUUAAUGUGACCCAAGUAAUUUUGUGUGUGUGUGUGUGUUUUUUUUUAUUGAAUUGUUAUUUUUUUGCUGUAUAAUAUAUAUAUGACAGCUCGGAGAUAACUACUAAUUGCCAUUUUUCUUUUUGACUUUAGUUAAGAAUUUAAAUGUUUCUAAGGAUGAACUGACCCCUCUAUUAUUGUUCCCAUGUGAAAAAAUCUAACUAAUUUUCAAGAAUGAAAUGAUUAUAAAAUACAGAACCACGUAAUUAAAAUUUUAAAAUAUUUAGCUUAUUACCUUGAUUAUUGCUUUAAUGCAAUCUUGUGUAAGGAUGAGUGCAUCAGAUUGAAAGCCGUCUCUCUUCAUUCUCAACAAAACAUCAACAAUGUUUUCUUCAUUUCCAGAAGUUCCCUUGUCCAUGUUUAUACGAUCAUCGACUACCUUUUGAAAAAAAGCAUCCAUCUCACCAAAGCUCUUCUCCAGCUUCCCAUGAACACCACUGAUUCGAUCAACAAUCCAACCGAAACUCGGAAAGAAAUCGCUAAUUGAGAAGCCUUUAAUGGCGUCAAUUGUUCUGCGCAUAACCUUUUGAAAAUUUUGGUUAUCUAGUUCACCCCCUCUAAAGCUCUUCCCAAAAGCAAUUCUUGUCGUAAUAUUGGCAGUAAGAGAAUAGCUUUUGUCACCCAAAUCAAUUGGAUUUGAAGAAAAUUUUAAGGAUUGUUGAGAGAUUGAGUUUAUGAGCAAACUCACUUCCUCUUCUCUGAUAUGAUGAAAUGAUUGCACUCGUUUAGUACUAAAGAGCUCGAGUAUGAAAAUCUUUCGAAGCUCUCUCCAACGCUCGCCAUAUGGAGACAAACUCAGGUCUUGAAAGUUAUAGGAAAAUCUUGCACUUCCCAUUAAGCGAGGGCGGCUGCAAGAUGCGAGAUCAUGGUGUUUGAAUAGCUCUCUCGCGGCUGUUGCGGAAGAAAUGACGACGGUCGGGAUGGAGCCGAGUUUCAGAAGCAUGAUGGGACCGUAUGUUCGUGAAAGGUUGCAUAAAGAGUGAUGAGGGUGGGAGCCAAGGAGGUGUAAAUGACCCAAUAAAGGAAGCUUUGGAGGGCUUGGAGGAGGAUUAGUAAUAAGCUUCUUGUUGUUGCUGUGAAUAAGCUUUUUUGUUUUGAGAAGAAGUAGAGAAGUUAAGAGAAAAAGGAGAGGAAACCAUAUGAGAAUGCUAUUCAUCAUCAUCUCUCAACAGUGUAAUAAUGCAUUUCCAAUGUUUGGGCAAAGUCUAUAUAUAUAGGGAACUUUUAUCAUAUAUGUUUUUAAAUACACAAGUGCACUAAGUAACUUACUGAAUCUUCGACUUUGAGAUGGAAGUCAUGUCCAUACCACCUAGACAAGCUCAGUCUACGACAAACACUUCUAUCGUGCUCGUUAUUUAAAAAAAAAAAAAAGAAGAUAAAUUUACCAGCGAGUGAAGCUACCUUACGAGUCUGGUAAAAAUUAAAUAAAAUAGCACUUAAUCAUAAAAAUUAAAAUUAAAAGAAAAAUUGUAUUUGAUAGCAAAAAUAACCAACCAUUUGAGAUAAUGAGAUAUUGUUGAGAUAUUUGCAAUCUUGUCUCCAAUAAUUUUCACCUUUCCAAAGCUAUUAGCGUCUGCAUCCUAAAAACUCCAUGAAUUUUGAUAGUUAAAGGAUGACCACACACCACACUUAAAAGGGACAGCAAUAGCCAUUUUUAACAGGAAGGUCAUGCUGCCUAUAAGUGAAUUAUUGAGGUCAGUCUAAAAAGUCAUCAAAGCAAGCUAACAAAUAUGUGUUCACAGAGCCAAUCCAAACAUCUCUGUUAGGGAGCAUAUAUAUAUAUAUAUGACACUAUGUAUACCCUUUCAGUCUUUUACCUGAUCUUGUAAUUAAUUUUUAAAACUAAAAAGAAUAUGAUAAAUUAUUUUAAGUAACAAAACUUUUGAAUAUAUUAAUAAAUAUAGCAAAGUAUAUUACAAAGGGUAAUCUAUCUUGAUUUAUAUUCAUUGUUCAUUGUAAAUAGACUAUCAUAUCUUACUAUAUUUAAAAAUAAUAAUCAUUUUAAUUAAUUAGCUGUCGUUAAUUCAUCAUUGCUAUUAAAAUUAAGUAUAAAACGUUCUUCAUUUUAAAUUAAUUAACUAAAAAUAAUUAAUGUCAAAGAUUAGAGAGUGAGGCAUUAGCUAACACUUUUUUAGUGCAACGGGGAUAAAAAUCAAACCUUCAAAAUAUUGGUAAGAAGUUCAUAUUAAUUAUUAUUGUUGUGUUAAAUUAAUUUUGAUUAUUGCACAUGAACUUUAUUUGGCUUCGUUGAUGGCUCUAAUCCAAAACCUGCAAGAAUUCUUGCAGAAACUACCAUGGGUGUCUCUCCAUCUUCUUCAUUCGACCCAACCGCUUCUGCCCAAACAACAACACCCACCCAACCAAACCCACUCCAUGAUGAAUGGAUUGCCAAAGAUCAUGCCUUCAUCACCCUCAUCAAUGCUACCCCUCUCUUCCAGUGCCCUCUUGCCUACAUUUAUUGGCUGCUCCGCAUCCAAAGAUAUAUAUGGCAUACCCUAGAGAAACACUACCUAUCCAACUCUCAAGUCAAUGUGGUGAACCUCAAAUUUGAACUCCAAACCAUCUCCAAAGAAAGCAAGCGAAUCAAUAAACUUCUACAUUUGAAUGCAUCAAAGAACUAAAAGAUAAGUUGUCCAAUGUAUGUGUUAUUAUUGAUUAUGAAGUUCUUGCUAUUUAUACCAUGAAUGGAUUACCCUCUAAAUAUAAUAUCUUUCGAACCUCAAUGCGCAAUCAGAUCUACCUCAGUAUCCUUUGAAAAACUCCAUGUUCUUCUAAUAUCAUAAGAAUCUGCCAUUAAGAAACAGAUCACUACAUGUGUUCUAAAAUGGAAUUUGUUGUUCUUUGUCAUGUGCUAAUAAGAAAAGAAUACUAAUGACAUAAAUAAUAUGGGACAAGUCUUAAUAUUGGAGGUUAACUUCCAAACAUAUAUAAGCUUUUACGGGACAAAUCUAGCUAUAUCCUAAAUCCUUUACAAUGUAAUUUUUCUUUACUUAUCUUUUUCUCCUAUUAAUUACUUUCAGUACCCAUGACACCUCCCUUCACAUGUGUGGUAAAUUUAAGAAGAAACAAAUAUAUAUUGAACAAAAAUUAUUUUUUAAGAAUUGACUUAUAUACAAGCUUAGUCUCUAGAUUUUAAAACUUAUAUUUGGUGUAUGAACCUUAAGAGAAUGUUGUUGAACUUAAUUUUAAGUUGUGAGGAUUAAAUCUUAGUUUUAAAAUUUUGUGUCCAAUCAAUUUGAUAGCGUUUUCCUUCACGGUUAUUUUGUGUGCUAUAAAUUAAUGCUAUUGGGGAUUGUGGUUUUGUUGUGGGUUUUUUAUUGCUCCUUUAAUGAAAGUUUAUUUUUAUUUUCAAAAUAAUAAUAAUUGCAAUACUUAAUUAAUAUUAAUUUAGAGAAGAAAAUAAAUGGGAUGUUGAUACCCAAAUAUCUUUCUCAUUUAAUUAUUACUUUCGAUACAUUAUCUAAAAUUUCAACGUUCAAUUAGCUAAAUGUUUGGAAUAUAUUAUGUGUGUGUAUGUAUGUAUGAGAAAUUAGGUGGCUGUCUUUCUCUAAUCACACUAAUUAAUUAUUCGUAACAAAUAUGGACAAAAACGUAAGAGUCUUUUCUCAAUGAUAACUAUACAAGAUAAUCUUUUUUUUUCCCUCUACCCUCUUGUACUAAACUAUAAAUAAAUCACAUAUAUUUUGUUACUCUUAAUCUUUUAAAUUAAAUUUGAAUUAAAUUUGUUAAAUUUUUUAUUUAUUAUGUGAAUCACUUGAAAAUUGGAUAUUUAAUACCAAAAGAUUGUGUCCAUUUAAUCACUUGAAAAAGGAGAACCAUAAGUCUUGAUUUACAUAAUAAUACUUAACUUAAUUAAUUAGUUAACCACAUUUAGUAAACUCUUGAUUUGGAUAUCUUGUAGGGCUGAUGUAGGCAUUCCUGGAGAAAAAAUGAAUUGGGGUAUAAGUUUGGAGAUUCGUGAAAAGUUGUAGGAUUUCUAUAAUUAUGUAUUGUAACUUCAAUAAGAAGAUUAUCAUUAAUGAAAAGUUGUUUCCACACACGUCUUGAACACAUUUAUUUUACAUAAGAGUUUAAGAAAGAUGAUGAUACUAACACUAAGAAAUGGAAUUUGUCAUUAUCAUCUACUCCCAUCUUUAUCCAUUUUCAGUAUUAGGCAACCAAUUUACGUGUUUGUAUCAAUUAUAUUUAUCAUAUAAGUUCACAGUUUAAUUUUCAUCCUUUGUGAUUUCAAAUUUUAUAGUUAUGGUAAUUUUGGGAGUUUAAUUUUAACACAUUUAGAAAUUUAAUUUCUCAAUCAUGCUAUUAUUGAAAAGUUUAAAAUGUUUCCAACCAUACCACCAUAUGUUUGGGGCAGUUUUUGCAUUGUACAUCAUUAAAGACUAUCAUCACACCCUAAUAUGGUUGAUGACGACUUCAAAUCUAUUUAUUUAUUAAAAUUAAAUAAAUGGAGAGGUCGGCCGUUAUGCGUAGCGAUCACGUCGCGACAAAGUUGAUAGGUGAAGGUGAAUUUAGUCGUAUAUUAUUUAAGACAUAUAGUAGCUGAUGCAAAUUACGAACAAAUAUACAAAUAUAUUGAAACACGAACAAAUAUACAAAUACAUACAUACAUAUGACGACACUUUGGUGAUCCUCAAGAGUUACGACUCCAAACAAAUAAUAGCCCCACAAGGCUUGUGGGUGUGGGAGGAAGAUCUAAUGACUUUAUUGGACUUAUUUCUCAAUCUUCUCAUAUCACAUCACCAACCUCGUUGAAAACGAUCCAUCAGAAAUAAAAUCAAAACAAACAUUGUGAUAUUUUCAAAUACAAUCUAAACAACAAUAAUUUCACACAUUGGACAGCCAUAGAAUUAUAUGUGAUAUUUUAUUAUAAGUGAAAAUGUAUUUUUUAUUUAAAAUAAUUUUUAUAUAUCAAAGUAAAUUAUUGAAUAGUUAUAAUGAAAAAUAAAGAUAACUAAAUUAAAGGUGCAUUUCAUACAAUAACAAAAUAGAUUAAAAUAUUUAAAAACUAUACAAAUUUUUUGAAUUAUAUUAUCUGUUUAAUGAUAAUGUUUGAGUUUGUUUCUCGCAUUGUUUUAGUGAUAUUUAAUACAUAAAUUAUAUAUAUUGUAAGUCUCACACAAUAUAUUCUAGAAUCUGUAGAUAUAUACUAUUACGUAGAGACAACUUUAAUUUUCUUUAUCUGAAAAAAGUUGUGUAUACUUAUUAUUUUCUCCAUUGUUUCUAAUUUGUCUAUCCUUUGUAGAUUUUGAAUGCCUAUUCUCUCGUGUUGUGUCUAUUUAAAUCUUGAAGAAGAUGGUGUAAGUUGUAUACUUAUUUUAGGUUUGUUGGUAGCUAAAGAUGCCAAUGUUUAUUCUUUUUGUAUGUAAACUACGUUUAACAGACGAUGGUUAUUAGUCAAUCCUAGUGUACGAAUAUUACAAACUAUAUCAUAACGUAUAUAUAUUAAAAUGUUGACUAUUUGUUUUUAUAUGAGUGCAAUUUAUUAUAACAACUUUGUGAUUGAACUGGUUAGCAAGACAUAUAUUUUAUUGUAAAAAAAAUGUAGUAAUUGAGAAAUAUACGACAGAAAAAAAUGUCAUAAUAUAUUAGUUCAUUACAUUUUGUAACUGUCAUCAAUAUAAUGACAUUUUAUUUUAUAGAAACGGUCACGAUUUGCAUAUCCUUGACAGAGAAAAAUGUUAUAUUAUAUGAAUUAGUGACAUUUUAUAACUGUCGUCAUAAAAUAAAAUAUGACAGUUAUUUGUUGUCAUAAAAUAUUAAAUAAUAACAUCUAUUUUAUGUCAUGAAAAUAUUCAUUGUGGCCAUUUUUUAAAACGGUCAUAGAAAAACUUUCUAAAACAAUUAUUAUAUUAAAUAUUACUGAAUAUAUAUUCUUUUUUUAAAAAAUGUUGGAUAAAAAUGUUUUUCAAAAAACUUUUUAAAAAAUAGUGCUGAAAUACAUAAAGAAAAGUUGUUGAUUUCUCUUUAAUUUUUUUGUUUUUUUUGAAAUAUAAAAAAUACUCCAAGUUACUAAGAUGUCAAUUCAUUAACAAAAAAUCAAAAUUGACAAAUGAAAUGUUGUUAACCUUUGUUAAAAAAAUUCAUGCAAAUGUGAUAAUUGAACCAACUUAAGUUAAAAAAAUCAAUGAAUGAAAUUAAAAAUAAAUACAUGUGUAAAUGCAUACAAGAUUUAAAAGUGAUGUUAAUUUUAAAAUUUCUAAAUGAUAAAGGUUUCCAAUAUAGUCAAAGUCAUACAUGACGACGAAUUGACCAAGUUAAGUGAGAAUUUUUCAUGAGACUGCACGGAAGCAUAAGAUUCUCGAAGGUCAACACUACUCCGUUCUCAAUUCUAAUCUUAUGAAAGUAAAAUCUGGUAGGAAGCUCGUGAUUGUGUGUAAUAAUUAAAUGCAUAAUAAAUUUAGAAUAAAAUUAAAGACUAAAAUAAUUCAAGAUAAAAGAGAAAAUGGUCAAACUCUCGAGGUAAAGCCUCCUUUCCCCAGCAGAGUUGUCAAGCUGUCGCCACGUGCCCGAGACAACGCGGAGCGGCCGACGUCCUCAAAAGAGUUAGUUUUAAAAGAAAAUAAGAGUCGUGACCAAUUUUUUUUACGGUGUGAUUGGACACUUAUAAAAUAAAUAGUUUUUAAAAAAAAUGGUCUGCGAAGAAUAGAGUUGAGUUCGAGAGUCAUUUGUGUGUGGGGAAGGUAUUAGUACCCACAACACCCAUUUAGAAAAACGGUGGUCAAAUUUCAAAUCUUGAAUUGAAAAUAUUUUUUAAUUUAUUUUAAAACCAAUGUCUUAUUUUACCCUUUAUUACUCCAAUGUUUGUAGCAAUAAUCUCAUAAAAUAAGUAGAAUAAUAUUCCAUUAAUUAUACUAUAUAUUGAAGAAAAGUUUCACACCUUAAGAAAAUGAGAAAUUAUUACAAUUUCUCAAAAUCUAUCAUAGGACUAGUCUUUGAAUAAAGAUUUUUUUAAAAUAUUGAUUGAAUUCAUUUUUUCUUGGGAUCAAAUCUCGGACUCCCAAGGAAUUUUGAUCCCUCACCUCAAGAAAUCUAGAAAAUUAGACUUCCAAAUUUCCUAGAUUUCGUCGUAGAAUUUUGUUUAACGAAAACAGUAUAAGUUUUUAGAAAAUAUUGAUUUAGAAAACCUUAUGAAAUCAUAGGUUAAAUUUUGAAGGUUUUGAAAAAACAUAAAACAUUUAUAGCAUUAGCGACAAAUUUGCUAAAUGAUUAAAAAAAACUUUAUUUUAAAACAUUAAAAAAUUUAAAUACAAACAGUAUCUAACAAAUAAUUAUUAUGAUUUUAACGUGAAUAAGUAAUAGAAAAGAAACAUCGUAACAACAAAUAAUAACAACAAACAAAAUGGGGAAAUAAAAAAAGGUAAAAGGAAAAGAAUAAGGAAAGUAUAAAUUAAGAAAGAAAGAAAAGAAAACAGCAACAUGUAUAAAAUUAAAAACAAAAAUGAAGAGAAUAAUAGUAAUAAAUUACAAUUAUAAUUAUUAAUAAGAAGAAGAAUAAUAGGUAAAAAAGAAAACAAAACAGUAAUAGUAAUAAAAUAGUAAUAAUAACCAUAAAAGAAAACAGUAAUAAUAAAAAAACAAUAAUGAUAAUAGCUAUAAUAAUAAUAAAUUUUCAUCUAUCCUCGUCUUUCCCUCUAUAUUUUAGAGAAGAAAAUAAAAGUUAAGAGCUGGAAUAAGAAAAAAGUAAAGAAAUAUGUAUUGUUAUUGAUGAUUUUUGCAUUCGUUGUUGAAGUUGAGUUUUCUAUAACUAUGGUAGAUCUCCGGAGAGAGAUUGUUAAUUCAAUAUAGUAUUUAGGGAAGCGUAAAUAUGAUGAAAGUGAAGGGAUCUCAUUCUUAGAGGGAGCCAUCUUGUCAUAUAUUUUUGUGACGUUGUGCUUGAUAUUAUGUUCUGUAUUAAAUACGUUUGCCUUUUCAUAUAUGACAUUUUCAUUUCUCGUAAAAAAUGAGUUUAACUCUAAAACAUUUUUCUAUAUUAAUAAAUAUUUACAUUACUUAAAAUAAUUUCUCAUUUUCUUUUUUAUUUUACAAAUUAAUUACUAGAUCACGUUAAUAUAAAGGACCGAAAGCGUAUACAUAGUGAACAAAUGAAUUAAUAAAUCUUCAAAAUGUAAAUUUUAAAAACUUUUUCACUGAAAGCAAACAAAACUCAAGGGUAAAAGUUCUGUAUUCUAGAUUUUUGGAUUGGCUACUGUGAACACAUAUAUUUGUUAGCUUCCUUUCGAUGACUUUUAGACUGACCUCAAUAAUUAACUUAUAGCAGCCUUCUUCCUGCUAAAAAUGGCUACUGCUGUCCCUUUAAGUGUGCUGUGUGGCCAUCCUUUAAGUAUCAAAAUUCAUGGAGUUUUCAAGAUGCAGAUGUACCUGGCUACAUAUGUUUUACACCAGAAUAUAAUGGGCCAAUUGUCUUCAAAAGAGAACGAAGGACUCUACCUAUUCAUCAAUGAUGGUCCAAUCUAGUAAUUGUACUAUCUAGCUUUUUUGAAAAUAUUAAGGUGGCACCCAAUAAAAAAAUGUGACAUGUGACACUUUUUAAAAAAAUUAUUUGUUAAUAUUUUUUUUCUGUGGGUAAAGGUGAGGAAGAGAACAAAUUCGACUGCAGGUAAAGAGAAAUGUCUAUGAGGAGCUAGCUCAUACAAUUUUAACGUCAUUCCUUACGUAUACCAUAUUUUACUAGAAACGUGCGCAUCCAAUCGAAGUUCCACAUUGGUUAGAUAAGGAGAUAAUCUUUGGUAUAUAAGUGAGAACAACUAUCCUCAUUGGGAUGAGGUCUUUUGAAAUGAUAUCAAAAUCACAAGUCAUGAGAUCAUGAGAGUGUAUAACCAAAGUGGAUAAUAUCAUACAUUUGUAGAGAUAUUUAGAGGUUUGCUAUCCUAACAAAACGUCUAAUAUUAAGAUAACAACUCUAAAAAUAUCUUCGUAGUUAUUUUUUUAUAUUAUUCAUUUUGAUGGCUAAAAUUAAUAGUCGUUGUAAUGAUUUAAAUAAGACUUUUGUACCCAUGUAACCUAAAUAUAUUCAUCUUAAUUACACAAUUGUCUAAGAAUAUUAAUCAUAUAUUAUUCCUCUUUCUCAAUAUUUCAUUCCAGCAUAUAUCAUGCAAGACUUUCUCUAAUCAGUGAUGGUAACAAAAAUAUAAACUAAAUAAUAUAAUUCUAUAAGUAUGCAAGACCAAAAGUAGAUAGACAAGAAACUUAAAUGUGCAUGAAAGGUAAGAAUUUUUUUUAUAAAUUUUAAGAAUUGUUCAACAUUGUCAAAAAAAAUUUUUUAACAAUAUCUCAAAUGGAAGUUAAUAGCUUUGCAAAGGUGAAAAUUAUUGGAGACAAGAUUGUAAAUAAUAUGGUUUGUUGUUUUUACUAUCCAAUACAACUUUUCUUUUAAUUUAAACUUUUAUGAUUGUGUACAAUUUUAAUUAAUUUUUACCAGACUUGUAACAUUGCUUCACUGGUUGGUAAAUUUAAUUAUCAUUUUUUUAAAUAACGAGCACCAUAGAAGUGCUUGUCAUAGAUUGAACUUGUCUAAGUGGUAUUGUCAUGACUUCCAUCUCAGUGAGCUUCCUCAUUCCACUUGUGUAUUAAAUAUAUAUAUAUAUGAUAAAAGAUCCCUAUAUAUAUGACCUUGGAAAUGCACUGUUACAUUGUUGAGAUGAAGAUUGAUAGCAUUUUCAUAUGGUUUCCUCUCCUCUUUCUCUCAACUUCUCUACUUCUUCUCAAAACCAAAAGGCUUAUUUACAGCAACAACAAGAAGCUUAUCAUUAAUCCUCCUCCAAGCCCUCCGAAGCUUCCUUUAUUGGGUCAUUUACAUCUCCUUGGCUCCCACCCUCAUCGCUCUUUAUGCAACCUUUCACGAACACACGGCCCCAUCAUGCUCCUGAAACUCGGUUCUAUCCCGACCGUCGUCAUCUCUUCCGCAACAGCCGCGAGAGAGCUAUUCAAACACCACAAUCUCGCAUCUUGCAACCGCCCUCGCUUAACAGGAAGUGGAAGAUUAUCCUACAACUUCCAAGACCUGGCUUUUUCCCCAUAUGGUGAGCGUUUUAGAGAGCUUCGAAAGAUUUUCAUACUCGAGCUCUUUAGUACUAAACAAUCAUUUCAUCGUAUUAGAGAAGAGGAAGUGAGUUUGCUCAUAAACUCAAUCUCUCAACAAUCCAUAAACUUUUCUUCAAAUCCAAUUGAUUUGAGUGAAAAAAGCUAUUCUCUUACUGCCAAUAUUACAACAAGAAUUGCUUUUGGGAAGAGCUUUAGAGGGGGUGAAUUAGAUAACCAAAAUUUUCGAAAGGUUAUGCAUAGAAUAACUGGUGUCCUAAAAAGCUUCUCCAUUACCGAUUUCUUUCCGAGUUUCGGUUGGAUUGUUGAUCGAAUCAGUGGUGUUCAUGGGAAGUUGGAGAAGAGCUUUGGUGAGAUGGAUGCUUUUUUUCAAAAGGUAGUUGAUGAUCGUAUAAACAUGGACAAGGCAACUUCUGGAAAUGAAGAAAACAUUGUUGAUGUUUUGUUGAGAAUGAAGAGAGAUGGCUUUCAAUUUGAUGAACUCGUCCUUACUCAAGAUUGCAUUAAAGCACUAAUCAUGGUAAUAAGCUAAAUAUUUUAAAAUUUUGAUUAGAUGGUUCUAUAUUUUAUAAUCAUUUCAUUCUUAAAAAUUAAUUAGAUUUUUUCACAUUCGAACAAUUACAGAGUGAUCAGUUCAUCCUUAGAAACAUUUAACUUAACUAAAGAAAAAAAGAAAAACGGCAAUUUGUAGUGGUCUCCCAUUGGAGCUGUAAUAUAGUAUAUAGCAAAAAAUAUUACUUAGGUUAGAUGAAAAAAUUUUAUGGAGUAAAGUUGCAUCAAGAUGGGUGCAACAUAGCCAGAAACCCAGAUAUACAUAUUUUAUCAUGCAUCACUUAUUUUUGUAAUAUGUUUAAUCACAAGUUAUGAUAAACUUAACUUUACUUUUAAAAAAAAAAUUAUCAUUUUAUCUUUUUUUUCUUUUGUGACAGGUACAUAAUAUGAUAUUGCAUCUAACAUAUUUUUUCCUCGUAAUAUAUAUAUAUAGAAUUUUUAUAAUAGUAGAUUUUACAAAAUAUUUACAACAUAUAGCAAAUUCUAUCAACAAUUCUAUCAGUGAUAGUUAUUGAUAUUUUUUUUAUCAAUGAUAGAAUAAAUUUUUUUAUUAUAACUUGUAAAUAUUUUAAUUUAUUUUUCUAAUUUUAAAAAUGUCUCUAUAUAUAUUCGUUUUCAAAAUAUAUAAAUGUUUAGGUGCAUCUAAUGUUUAUGCAUUUUAUAAAAUUAUUCAAGUAGAUUAUUUACUUCUCUUUUAAGUUAUUUUAAUUAUUUUUUUGGUAGGGUUAGAAAGAGUCUAACAUAAAAAUGUGUGUGUCAAUAUUCUAUUUUAAGAUUUUUAAAGCAAAAAAAUCAAACCAAAUUCAAGUUUCAUUUUUUCUUUUUAUCUCAAAGAAGUGUUGUUCUUUUUAGGAUAUCUUUUUAGCUGGAGUGGAAACAGGAGCAACCACCAUUGUUUGGGCAAUGACAGAGUUAAUUAGAAACCCAAGAAUAAUGAAAAGGCUACAAACUCAUAUCAGAAGCCACAUAAAAAAAGAUCAAGUAAAAGAAAAGGACCUGGAAAGGCUUCCCUAUCUAAAAAUGGUAGUGAAAGAGGUUCUAAGGUUGCAUCCACCAGCCCCACUUCUCCUUUCAAGAGAAAUCACAUCUCAUUUUAAGCUUAAUGGUUAUGAUAUACAUCCCAAGGCUCAUCUUCAUGUUAAUGUGUGGGCCAUUGGACGAGAUCCAGAAUGUUGGGAUAACCCUGAAGAGUUUAUCCCAGAAAGAUUUAUGGAAAAUAACAUUGAUUAUAAAGGACAGAAUUAUGAAUUAUUACCUUUCGGAGGUGGUAGAAGAGUUUGUCCAGGAAUGAAUAUGGGAAUCUUUACAAUAGAGUUGACAUUGGCUAAUUUGUUACUUUGUUUUGAUUGGAAAUUGGGAGAUGGAAUGAAAGAAGAAGAUGUAGAUAUGGAAGAGAAUUUUGGUCUUGCUGUUGCCAAAAAGUUACCUCUAACACUUGUUCCCGUCCCUUACUUAGCUUAAACUACCUCUUAGUUUAUUUGCUACCCUAAUGGAAUAAAUAUGUUGCUCAAAUGGACCACCCUAGCUUUUAGUUAUAUAUUGUAAUUUAGAGUUCUAAAAUGUUUAUAUGAUAACCUACCUCUCUCUAUAUAUAUAAGAACUUAUGUUAGAAGAAGAUACAUUUUUGGUUUUGGGGUUAGAUUUAGUUAUUUAUUAAUAUUUUGUUUGUAUGCUUAUUUCACCCCUCAGAUGGGAAUUUAAUUUCUAUUAUAUGCCUAACUCUUUUAAAAUGAUAUGUUUUUUUUUCUUUUAAGUUUUGAGUUUUUUUUUUUUUUUCUAUUAUCAACAAUUGAUCAAGUAAGGGUAAAAAUUGCAACAUUUGUUUAAGUUAUUUAAUGUUUAAUUAAUAUGACGAUGAAGUUAGAAGUGUUGAUGGCAAAAUCUAGACAAAGAGAGUCUAUUGAUCGACCUUUACCUGUCAUGAAUUUGUAUUUUGGAAAGAGGUCACUUGCAAAGCAGCCAAAAUAACAUAUCUUGAUGUUUGCUUGCUCAAAGGCACUCUAAAUUUUAAGUUGAUUAGUCUUUGAGUAAGAAAUUUAGGAGAUGAGUUUAUUCGAUAUGAAAGUUUAAAGGAUUUAGACUUCAUUUAUCCUUUCAAAAAUAAGACUCUGUCUGGGUUGGGUUGGACUAAACAUAUAUAAUAGUUGAAGAAAAAUACAUAUAUUUGUCUUGAAAAAAUACUUACAAACUGCACAUCCCAUAUGCAUAAAAAUUAUCUAAUCAAUGAUAUGUUAGGUGACAAUUUUUUUUCAUUUCCGUUUAGAUAAUUCAAUUCUUUUUUUUGUGGGUAUAAUGGAAAUGCGAUACAUAUAGAUAUCAGUGCAUUAAAUGCACUCAUUUACUACUCUUUGUAUCAUUUAAUUUACUUGGUUGCAUUUCAUUUAGUUUAUUUUUCACAUCGUUGAACUUUUUUUAUCUUUUGCAGCAGAUUCAACUCUAUCUACCAAUAUAUCACAUAGCAAAAUUAUUAUUACUACUAUUAUUAUUAUAAUAGAAGAAGAAUGAAGAAAAGAGUUUACUAGAAAAUUGUAAUGAAAUACUGAAUUAUACCUAAUAUUGUUUUGGGUAAUGUUAAUCAAUGGUAGCAAUAUUUUCCAAGAUAAUAAGUAUAUAGGGAGAACUGUUAUCAAUCCAAAAGAUAAAGAUUGGCCUUGGCAUUACGUUAAUCUCAGACACAAAUUUCGCUCUACUAACCAAAUGUCUAUGGAUGUAUCAAUGUGAGCCAAAAUCUGUAUGGAGAUCUAUCAUAGAUGCUAUUCCAACUUGUUGGGAGAUUUUUCACAUAAAGGAAAUGAUAGCAGCUCAAAUGCUCCUUGGAGAUCCAUACAUAAAAGGAUUGAGUGGUAUAUAAAAGCAACAUGAAAUGGAAAGUGAAUAAUGAUAAAUAAUAGAGGCCUAUCGACUUCAAAAGGCAAGUUUUUUUUUUUUUUUUGUUAAUUACACACUCUCUAUUAUAUCUCUAAAUAUCAAUGUUUUGUUAUAGUCGUAUGGGCUUAUCUCUAGCUUUUGAACUUUUUGUUCCCUUGCGCUUUUAUGAAUAUAUAUUGGGUAUGAUAGAGGUUCAUUUAGUAUCUUUAAAAGGGUGCACCUACUAACCCACCGUUCGUAUCCUUUUUAAAAAAGAACAAUAAACUAAUCAACAAUGAAUAACAUUUUGAAGGAUUUUCAACAUUGAAUAUAUAUUAUAUACAUUAUUUAGAGGUAGCCUCUUGGAAAAUUGGUGAUUUGUCAUGUAGCCACCUAUUUUUAUCCUACCAAUAAUUUUCUCUAAAAAUAAUAUUAGUAAUAAUGGUUAAACUUUUAUUUAUUUAUUUUUAGAAAAAAAGGUAAAAAAUUUAGUAAUAACAUAUAUUAUUGAUAUCUCAUUUUCAUUAUUUUAGGACAUAAAAAUAAAUCAACUUAUUUUAAAUAAAAUAUUUUAAUAUCACAUCUAUAUUAUUUGUACUAUUUAAAGAAAAAAAUAAAUGAAUUUGUUUUAAAUAAAAUCUUCUAAUAUCAAUUUUAAGUAUUUUAUAUCAUUUUAGGAAAAAAAAGAAAAUUAAUUUCAAAAAAAAAAAUCUUUUAAUAUCCAUUUAAUUUAUUUAUUUAUUUUACAAAAUCUCAAAAAAUCGCAUUUAGUUUAGUUUAUUUAUUUUAGGAAAAUGAAAUUUACCUUAUUAAUAUAAUAUCAAAUUUGGAUUAUUCUUUUCUUAUUUUUUUUAUUGUUAUUAUGUUUCCAUUCUUUUACCAUUCACGUUCAUAUAUCAUAAUUAUUGUUAUAUGCACUUAAAUGUAACUCUUUGUAUUUAAAUUUUUUAAUGUUUUAAAAUUCUUCCAAUUUAAAAUUCUUUAUGUUUUAAAUAAAAGACAUUUUUUUAUAAAAAAAAUCAUUUAGCAAAUUUGUCUCUAAUGCUAUAAAUGUUUCAUGUUUUUUCAAAACCUUCAAAAUUUAACAUAUGAUUUCAUAAGAUUUCCUAAACCAGUCUUUUCUAAAAACUUAUACCGUUUUCCUUAAAAAAAAUCCUACGAUGGAAUCUAAAACUUUCUGGAAGUCCGUUAUUUCUAGAUUUUUGAGGUGAGGGAUCAAUAUAUUUGGAAGUCCGAGAUUUAAUCUCAAGAAAAAAUGAAUUUAAUUAGUAUUUUAAAAAAAUCUUUAUUCAAAGACUAGCCUAGGAUAGAUUUUGAGAAAUUGUAAUAAUUUCUCAUUUUCUUAAGGUGAGAAAUUUUAAAUUUGUAAUCUUAAUUAAUGGAAUAUUAUUCCACGCUUCAAACAUUGAAGCAAUAGGGUAAAAUAAGACAUUAGUUUAAAAAUAAAUUAAAACAUAUUUUCAAUUUAAGAUUUUAAAUUUGGGCACCGUUUUUUAAAUGGGUGUUGUGAGGUGCUAAUAACUUCCCCACACAAAUGACUCCCGAACUCAAUUCAAUUUUUUUCGCAGACAAUUUUUUUUGUUUACUUUAUUUCGGUAUCCAAUCACACCGUAAGAAAGAUUGGUGGCGACUCUUAUUUUAUUUUUAAACUAACUCUUUUAAGGACGUCGGCCGCUCCGCUUCGUCUCGGGCACAUGGCGACAUGUCAUAUAUAUAUAUAUAUAUAUAUAUAUAUAUAUAUAUAUAUAUAACCUAAUCAACAAGAGAAGUGAAGUAGAAAGCAACGACACUUUCACAUGGAGCGUUGAAUUUUGGAAAAAAACUUGGUUGCAAUCGGGAUUAAUAAAGUUCUUUAUAUCGUAUACGUUGCUUUCAAAUGAACUUCAUUUCUAAAUUUUUGAAGGACAAUAGAGGACGUGAUUGGAGAGUGAUUAGUCACCGAAAGCAGGAUUUGAACAACUACAAUAGCAGCAAAUAUUAUCAACAUUCAACCCAAUUAGCUAACCUAUAUCUACAUCAUCGUCCUUUACUUUAUUUUCAAUUGAUAUAAAUUGUCCAUUACUUGUUCCCAAUCCAAACAGCGGGUCCACUUCCAGAAAGCUCUAAAAAUUGAAAGACACUAUAAGAAAUGAAGUGAUGUAUAUUAUUUGAAUUAUUGAGGACAGUAACCCAAUCAUCGUCCUUUAUUUAUAUAAUUUGAUGUAGUUUUAUUAUCUACCACCAUCUACAUGUUACAUUCUUUCUCAAAUUAUAAAUUUAUUAUUUUAGACAAAUCAAAUUAAGGUGUGUUUUUUAUUGGUCAAAUUGAGUACAACAAUAGAAUAACCAACAGCUAAAAACUCAAGGAUAGAAAAGAUGCUUUCAUAUAUGAUACUUGAUUUUUUUCAAAAGAAAAAAAAGAAGGAAUAUGAAAAAAAGAAACAUAAAUAAGACAAAUAUAAGAGUUGAUUUUAUGGCCAAUAUAAUGUCGUUGCAAAUUACAAUAAUAUAACAAAACAGGGGAAGACCCAAUAUUAGAGCAAGUUUAGGUUUGUAUCCAUGACAGGAAGAUGAAAUGAGUAUUAAUUGGAGUUGAAGCAAGGAAUUGGAAGAAGUUGAAGAGGUGAUUUCUUGGAAACUGUAAUACCAAAUUCCUCUUCCAUGUCUAAAUCUUCUUCUUUCAUUCCAUUUGGUAAUUUCCAAUCAAAACACAUUAACAUAUUAGCCAACGUCAACUCUACCGUUGCAAUCCCCAUAUUCACACCUGGACAU
rnacentral:lncRNA from 1 species